AAAAGACAUAAACAAACAAGCUGAACGGCCUCACUGCUCUGACCGACCCCUGACCUGUCAGCAGGACUGUGAUACCCUCACUGCCGAUUACCCGAGAUGCCUCACGGUCAGUCCUAACUUGUGUGAAAGAGGAAAAUGAAUGGGUCCAGUGUGGCUGCUCGGGGCUGCACGGUCAGGGCGAACUGGAAAACCUGGCUAGUCUAAAGGCUACUUCGACCAUCGCCAGAAGCCGUCAGAGUUUUUGGGGGUCCACUGAAAAAAAAAAGAAAAGCUGAACAGCGCUGAAAAGCGGAGCGUAUGGGCCGCCAAUGAGGAGAGAGUGUGGGUCUCUUACAGUAUGUGGGCGCCCCCUAGCGGAUGGAGCACUCGAACGUGGCACAGCCAUCUUGCAUGGACGGACAUAGGGGCUUCGGGCUGCUCGCCUCUUCGCGAACUCGCAGGCGCCCAUUUUAAUCUGAUUAAUGCUGCAGAGCUUCUCCUCCUGAUUGACUCGGACGUGGCGGAGCUGCGUGUGUAGGUAUCUCCUACACCUUUCCCUCUGACGCGCCUCGGAGACCACUCGCUCACUUUCUCUCCGGCUUUGCGUUCUAGUUUAGACGCUCAUUAAACGUCUUUAUAUUAUGUUCAUAUUUUAUUUAUUUUUUUAAGUGAGAGUUGCACGACUUCCAGUUUCUUUUUUUUCCUUCAAAACUCCAUAAGAAGAAAACAAACAAACAAACAAACAAAAACAGGCGUGCUUUUCUGGAAUUUACUAAGACGUCACUGCUGUGUGCAGGUUUGGCAGCAGCCGGGACAACACGGAUGGGCCAUGGUCACAAACGCAAAGGAACGUUCAGUGAAGAUGUCACAGCCACAUGCAUGAUGGGAGAAUCAUCUUGCAAAAAAAAAUGGAAUCUUUGGAUCAGGUAAGUUUGAUUAAGCUGUGCAGUGUGUCAUUAAUCUUGCUGUAUCAAUAGGAUACUGAUUUGAAGUUUUAGUGAUAUUCAUAGUCAACCAACAUUAUGGAAUAAAAAAGUUUCCCUGUUACCUAGCACUUUGUUUUAGUUGCAUUUGUUAUAUUAUUAUUCAUUUAUUUAGGCUUUUUUCUUGCAUUUUGCACAUUUUACAGAGUAUAUCCAGGACUUGACUAUUAACUGUCAUUUGUUAUAAAGAACAGUUGAAAAUAUAAAAGGUAAAUAAAUACUAACUUUCUUUUCUGGAAAUCGAGUUUCUGUCUGGUUUAUGUUCCAGUACUAAUUUUAAGAGAAGAUAACAACAAAACAGUCCAAUCAAAACAAGAUAUUCUGGGUUUUUAGACAUUCCUUUACCAUAGAGUAGCAUCAUCCAAAAAGAAUGGGUUUAUUAACUUUAUUAAUGCAUAAUACUGAAUAAAUGUAAAUAUAAUCCAAUAACCUCAGUUUGUAAAAUUAGGAAAAUAUUGUGUUUUUAUUCAUUUUGAUCAAUAACUAGACUCAGACUGAGAUUAAAAAUCUGAAUAUUUUGUAGAGUUGAGUAAUAUGAGAGCAUUAUUAUAAUUUACACCACAAUACACUUUCCUAAGCAUAUCACGGAUUUGGCUUGUACAGAACACUGAGCAACUGCAUGUUUCAUUACAAAGACAGCUAAUUAGGCCUGGCAAUUGGAUUUAGUGCAGUGCAGUAUGUGAAACAAUGAAUAAAAAACAUUGCAGUCAGCUUACAGCCAAUUUUUUGGCUGAUUUUUACCCAUUUUCUAACCUGAAGCUCACAUUACGUGGGAUAAAAUUUAUAAAUGAUGAAUCAGUUGCCAAAUUAAAUAAUGCAAAUCAAAAAAGACAAUACAAGGAAAAUGACCAUUUAUUCAACGAGUUAUACAUAAUUAUUUUUUUUGGUAGCAGCAGCAUUGAAAUAGAGCAUACAUCAUAAAAUUUCAACACAGAAUAACUAAUAACUAAUAAUAAUAAAAUAUAUCAUAACAAUAAAUUGGCUGACUGCUGAUCUCAUGCUUGGAGCAAAAAUCUGCCGACUCUGAUCUUGACUGAUGCCAAUUGUGCACCCCCCAUGCAAUAUUAUAAUUGAGAUAUUAAAUCGGCCACUCCUAAUAUUUAGCAUAUAGUAACAAGUUCAGGCCAAAUCUGAUUCAUUUUCAUAAUGACACUGUAAAUAAAUAUUGUACAAAUCUUAAAGUCAGACUGAAAAUAUAUAUAUAUAUAUAUAUAUAUAUAUAUGAAUAAAAUAAAAUAAGUCACAUUACAUGAAUUUCAGUCACCAGAAGACACAGUUGAAGCAUUAACAUGCAUGUAGUUUUCUACUUCAUGGUGAUAAGACACUCCAUACAGACAGACACACACACACACACACACACACACACACACAAAUACACAAACACACAGACAUACACAUGCUCACACGCACAGCAACACAGACAGAGACACACACACAGAGUCAACUGAGACAGUGGUGUCACAUGGUGGAGGAUAUAGCCACCUAUUGAAACGUGGCUGAGCAAGAUUAAUAGGGCUCAUGAGGUAAGAGAAAACGACGCUUUGCUGUAAACCUACACCGGCCCGACAAACGAACAACUGUCUGAACUUUACUUAUGGGCCCCCCUGAAGGAUUAGCGUACACGCACAGUAAGGUUCAUGAAGCUCAGAGUUCAUCAAACUGACGUGUGGUGCUCACAAAGAAUUUACGUAAAACAUUUAGGUGUGGGACAGUGUCAGAUGUGUCAUCUGACUUACUGUUGUCAUGCUAAUGUUUAAUAAACUGCUCCCCGUCUUCAUAGUGAAUAACGCAAGAACACAAAAGAGACAUUUUCAUUUAUCAAUCACAUCAAUGAAACGGCUAAAAAUGCUGACUGAUUAGUCGAGCCAUAGCAUAUUGUGGCAGCGUACUGUAAAAGUGAUUCUGAGUGGUACUGUGUAAUUACUCUGUCAAAUUAACAGCAAUCAAAUAAACAUGAGCAUUGUAUUUAUAUCUUA